GGACAGGCAUGCUUACUGCCCAUUUUAGAAGAUGCUGGCUCUCUAGGCUCAGGGUCUUUCUCUCGCAAAUCAGUCAGCUGUGUGUUACAGCUGUCACCAGGCCCUCUUCAUGUUGUCCUAUGGGAGAUGGGGCUCGGAGAACCUGCAAAGAAUGCUGACACAUGACUACAGCUACUGCUGACCUUCAGCUCUGAUCUGGGGACUCAAGUGGUGUCUACCAGCAACCAUGACAGUGCAGCAGCUAACUUGGGAACUAGCAAGUGGAGUAAAAAUCUCAGAACCGUCAAAGUUCUUGACAGUACUCACAUGGCUGAUUAUCUUGGAAACAUAGUGGUCUCUUCUCUGGAGUUUGGACUGCCUUCCAAGAGAUUUGUACCUAUCCAAAUCCCAUCAACAUUAGAAAAGAGAUGGCAUGUUCUCUCCAGCUCCCCAACCAUGGGCAUUGAAAGAUUUUUUGAAAAGUUCUUAGAGGUGAGAAACUCUGUGUCAGUGUUGUAUUUAUUUACAUUUCGUUAAGUUUAAAGUAAAAGCUAUUUUCAUUUGCCUAUUGGCCAUUUGUAAUAGUUUUAUCCUUUACCCGUAUUUCUAUUAAAGAAUAUUUUUCUG
rnacentral:lncRNA from 1 species